rnacentral:tRNA from 1 species
GUUUUUCUAGUAUAAUUAGUACAUUUGACUUCCAAUCAAAAAGAUUGAUAAUUAAAUCAAGAAAAACA